rnacentral:rRNA from 1 species
GGAUUAGAUACCCUGGUAGUCCACGCCGUAAACGAUGUUCACUAGCUGCUGGGGGCCUUGGCGCUCGCAGUGGCGAAGCUAACGCAUUAAGUGAACCGCCUGGGGAGUACGGUCGCAAGAUUAAAACUCAAAGGAAUUGACGGGGACCCGCACAAGCGGUGGAGCAUGUGGUUUAAUUCGAAGCAACGCGAAGAACCUUACCUGGGUUUGACAUCCCACUAAGAUCGGGUAAUGCCGAUUGUGCCCUUCGGGGAAAGUGGUGACAGGUGCUGCAUGGCUGUCGUCAGCUCGUGCUG